CCGUGCGGAACAUGACAAGAACCUGAUUGCCUUGCUUAAGAGAUGUCGUGAGAAGAAUAUGAAGCUCAACCCGAACAAACUGCAGAUUGGUGUUGAGGAGGUAAGCUACUUUGGGCAUAUCAUCAGUAAAGAUGCAAUCAUUAAAAUGCAAGCACCAACUUCCAGAAAAGAACUAGAAACAGCACUGGGCAUUUUCAAUUAUCUGUCAAAGUUUUCGCAGGGUUUAGCCCAACAAACAGCACCUCUACGAACUCUACUGAAGAAAAA